GGGAUCGCCCUAGUAACGGCGAGUGAAGCGGCAACAGCUCAAAUUUGAAAUCUGGCGUCUUUGGCGUCCGAGUUGUAAUUUGCAGAGGGCGCUUUGGCAUUGGCAGCGGUCCAAGUUCCUUGGAACAGGACGUCACAGAGGGUGAGAAUCCCGUACGUGGUCGCUAGCCUUUACCGUGUAAAGCCCCUUCGACGAGUCGAGUUGUUUGGGAAUGCAGCUCUAAAUGGGAGGUAAAUUUCUUCUAAAGCUAAAUACUGGCCAGAGACCGAUAGCGCACAAGUAGAGUGAUCGAAAGAUGAAAAGCACUUUGGAAAGAGAGUUAAAAAGCACGUGAAAUUGUUGAAAGGGAAGCGCUUGCAGCCAGACUUGCCUGUAGUUGCUCAUCCGGGUUUCUACCCGGUGCACUCUUCUAUAGGCAGGCCAGCAUCAGUUUGGGCGGUUGGAUAAAGGUCUCUGUCAUGUACCUCUCUUCGGGGAGAACUUAUAGGGGAGACGACAUGCAACCAGCCUGGACUGAGGUCCGCGCAUCUGCUAGGAUGCUGGCGUAAUGGCUGUAAGCGGCCCGUCUUGAAACACGGACCAAGGAGUCUAACAUCUAUGCGAGUGUUUGGGUGUCAAGCCCGAGCGCGUAAUGAAAGUGAACGGAGGUGGGAACCUUUCGGGGUGCACCAUCGACCGAUCCUGAUGUCUUCGGAUGGAUUUGAGUAAGAGCAUAGCUGUUGGGACCCGAAAGAUGGUGAACUAUGCUUGAAUAGGGUGAAGCCAGAGGAAACUCUGGUGGAGGCUCGCAGCGGUUCUGACGUGCAAAUCGAUCGUCAAAUUUGGGCAUA
rnacentral:rRNA from 1 species